rnacentral:rRNA from 1 species
AUUGAACGCUGGCGGCAUGCCUUACACAUGCAAGUCGAACGGCAGCACGGGAGCAAUCCUGGUGGCGAGUGGCGAACGGGUGAGUAAUAUAUCGGAACGUGCCCAGUCGUGGGGGAUAACGCAGCGAAAGCUGUGCUAAUACCGCAUACGAUCUAAGGAUGAAAGCGGGGGAUCGCAAGAACUAGCGCGAUUGGAGCGGUCGAUAUCAGAUUAGCUAGUUGGUGGGGUAAAGGCCCACCAAGGCGACGAUCUGUAGCUGGUCUGAGAGGACGACCAGCCACACUGGAACUGAGACACGGUCCAGACUCCUACGGGAGGCAGCAGUGGGGAAUUUUGGACAAUGGGCGCAAGCCUGAUCCAGCAAUGCCGCGUGCAGGAUGAAGGCCUUCGGGUUGUAAACUGCUUUUGUACGGAACGAAACGGCCCUUUCUAAUACAGGGGGCUAAUGACGGUACCGUAAGAAUAAGCACCGGCUAACUACGUGCCAGCAGCCGCCGUAA